UACGUAGGGGGCAAGCGUUGUCCGGAUUUAUUGGGCGUAAAGAGCUCGUAGGCGGUUCCGUAAGUCGUGAAGUCAAAUCUCUGGGCUCAACCCAGAAUCGCUUCCGAUACUGCGGUGACUGGAGUCCGGUAGGGGAGUGUGGAAUUCCUGGUGUAGCGGUGAAAUGCACAGAUAUCAGGAGGAACACCAACAGCGAAGGCAGCACUCUGGGCCGGUACUGACGCUGAGGCGCGAAAGCUAGGGGAGCAAACGGG
rnacentral:rRNA from 1 species